rnacentral:pre_miRNA from 1 species
UGAUGAUCAUCAUGAUCACGAUGAUGAUGAUCAUGAUGAUGGUGAUGAUGAUGAUCAUCAUCAUCAUGAUCAUGAUCAUCAUGAUCAUCACGA